rnacentral:rRNA from 1 species
GAUCUCUUUGAGGCCCGUUAUCGGAAUGAGAACAAUUCAAAUCCUUUAACGAGGUUCUAGCGGAGGGCAAGUCUGGUGCCAGCAGCCGCGGUAAUUCCAGCUCCGCAGGUGUAUAUCUAUGCUGCUGCGGUUAAAAAGCUCGUAGUUGGAUCUGCGUGCUCGGAACUGGUUGGCUCACUGAGUUCAAACUGGUCUCCGGCGCUUUAUUGGCUGGUUUUCCCUUGAUGCUCUUAACCGGGUGUCUUGGGUGGCUAGCACGUUUACUUUGAAAAAAUUAGAGUGCUCAAUACAGGCGUAAAGCCUUGAAUAGUGGUGCAUGGAAUAAUAGAAUAGGACCUCGGCUCUAUUUUGUUGGUUUUCGGAACGCGAGGUAAUGAUUAAGAGGGACAGACGGGGGCAUUCGUAUUGCGACGUUAGAGGUGAAAUUCUUGGAUCGUCGCAAGACGGACGACUGCGAAAGCAUUUGCCAAGAAUGUUUUCAUUAAUCAAGAACGAAAGUUAGAGGUUCGAAGGCGAUCAGAUACCGCCCUAGUUCUAACCGUAAACGAUGCCAACUAGCGAUUCGCAGGCGUUAAACAACGACCUUGCGGGCAGCUUCCCGGAAACGAAAGUGUUCGGGUUCCGGGGGAAGUAUGGUUGCAAAGCUGAAACUUAAAGGAAUUGACGGAAGGGCACCACCAGGAGUGGAGCCUGCGGCUUAAUUUGACCCAACACGGGAAAACUCACCCGGCCCGGACACCGUAAGGAUUGACAGAUUGAGAGCUCUUUCUUGAUUCGGUGGGUGGUGGUGCAUGGCCGUUCUUAGUUGGUGGAGCGAUUUGUCUGGUUUAUUCCGAUAACGAACGAGACUCUGGCCUACUAAAUAGUGGGCGGAUUCUUUCUGUCCGCAACACUUCUUAGAGGGACAAGCGGUGUUCAGCCGCACGAGAUUGAGCAAUAACAGGUCUGUGAUGCCCUUAGAUGUCCGGGGCUGCACGCGCGCUACACUGAAGGAAUCAGCGUGCUUUCUGACCUUGCCCGAAAGGGCUGGGUAACCCGAUGAAAAUCCUUCGUGAUUGGGAUAGGGACUUGCAAUUAUUUCCCUUGAACGAGGAAUUCCCAGUAAGUGUGGGUCAUAAGCUCGCGUUGAUUACGUCCCUGCCCUUUGUACACACCGCCCGUCGCUGCCCGGAACUGAGCCGUUUCGAGAAGAACAGGGACCGUCGUUGAAGGGCCUUAACGGGCUUUUCUCUGAUAGAAACUGUU